rnacentral:rRNA from 1 species
UACGUAGGGUGCAAGCGUUGUCCGGAAUUAUUGGGCGUAAAGAGCUCGUAGGCGGUUUGUUGCGUCGGCUGUGAAAUCCCGAGGCUCAACCUCGGGUCUGCAGUCGAUACGAGCAAACUAGAGUGUUGCAGGGGAGACUGGAAUUCCUGGUGUAGCGGUGAAAUGCGCAGAUAUCAGGAGGAACACCGGCGGCGAAGGCGGCACUCUGGGCCGGUACUGACGCUGAGGAGCGAAAGCGUGGGUAGCAAACAGG